rnacentral:rRNA from 1 species
ACGGAAGGCAGCAGUGGGGAAUAUUGCACAAUGGGGGAAACCCUGAUGCAGCGACGCCGCGUGAGUGAAGAAGUAUUUCGGUAUGUAAAGCUCUAUCAGCAGGGAAGAUAAUGACGGUACCUGACUAAGAAGCCCCGGCUAACUACGUGCCAGCAGCCGCGGUAAUACGUAGGGGGCAAGCGUUAUCCGGAUUUACUGGGUGUAAAGGGAGCGUAGACGGCAUGGCAAGUCUGAUGUGAAAACCCGGGGCUCAACCCCGGGACUGCAUUGGAAACUGUCAGGCUAGAGUGCAGGAGGGGUAAGCGGAAUUCCUAGUGUAGCGGUGAAAUGCGUAGAUAUUAGGAGGAACACCGGUGGCGAAGGCGGCUUACUGGACUGUAACUGACGUUGAGGCUCGAAAGCGUGGGGAGCAAACAGGAUUAGAUACCCUGGUA